rnacentral:lncRNA from 10 species
GGAUCCCCUGCUAUAUGACCCUACUUGCCCAAUACUCCACUUCAUCAAGGUGAAGUGACCCACCAAGAGAGACUUUCAGGGUCUGGGCAUUACCAGAUAAAAGAUGCCUAUUUUAUUCUGGCUGAAAGCAUGAACAGAAUAAACAAUGAGCUCUGUGAAGAAUGUUCUAUGAACCCGAAUCAAACUCAAACUCCUGUGUCACUCCGGUACGCCUGAUCACUGGAUAUAACCACGUAUUGGUCCAGAACCUCCCUCUCUGUUACUACUCCCUUUGGAUUUAUCCAGUAGUCUUAGACGUCACCAGGGCCAAGCCAUGCAUAUAUAGAUUGAAAUGUUGUUUUCAAAACCUACUCAAGCUAUCUCUUGAUGAACAAGAUUAGUACCAUCUGAUUACAACCCUGAAGAGUCUAGAUUCCUUAUUCUGCAAAAUGGAUUUAUUGUAUCUCAAGGCACUGUGAAGUUUGCAGUAGCAUGUAUAGGCAAAAAGGAAAGUCCAAAGAGAGGAAAAGAAAGCAGGAGAGAUCUGAAAUGACACAAGAAGUGACUCAGAAUGGGAAGAUUGUGCACUCCUUGUUGUCCCCUAAUGCACAUGGAAGUAUGCAACAGAAGCUGUGAAAAUAACCCAGAGAGAAAGAAAAAAAUGAUGUAAAUUUAAACAUAGCAUAUUCUGGAAACAGUAUGCUUAUGGAACAGCCAGAGAGAUUUUCAAAACUUGAUCAUCUAAAUGCAGAGAACAGUUUCAAG